UCGUCGCCUAUAAAUAAGGUUUUGGGUUGAUAUUGCUCGCAAUAAACACCCAAAUAAUUGGGAAUUUGGUGAAAAUCCAAAACUGUACCCGCAACUGUAAACGUUUAUAUAACACGUCAGUCAGAUACCAGCCUUAUACAAUCUUGAAGUA
rnacentral:ncRNA from 17 species